CCCUGGAUAGCUCAGUGAUAGGGCUCCUGACUAGAGUUGCAGGGGUCCCAGGUUCGAUUCCCGGUCCAGUCA
rfam:Crassostrea gigas strain 05x7-T-G4-1.051#20 contig999, whole genome shotgun sequence.